rnacentral:rRNA from 1 species
UGGGGAAUAUUGCACAAUGGGCGCAAGCCUGAUGCAGCCAUGCCGCGUGUAUGAAGAAGGCCUUCGGGUUGUAAAGUACUUUCAGCGAGGAGGAAGGCGUUGUGGUUAAUAACCGCAACGAUUGACGUUACUCGCAGAAGAAGCACCGGCUAACUCCGUGCCAGCAGCCGCGGUAAUACGGAGGGUGCAAGCGUUAAUCGGAAUUACUGGGCGUAAAGCGCACGCAGGCGGUCUGUCAAGUCGGAUGUGAAAUCCCCGGGCUCAACCUGGGAACUGCAUCCGAAACUGGCAGGCUAGAGUCGUGUAGAGGGGGGUAGAAUUCCAGGUG